AUUGAACGCUGGCGGUAGGCCUAACACAUGCAAGUCGAACGGCAGCACAGUAAGAGCUUGCGCUUCCGGGUGGCGAGUGGCGGGCGGGUGAGGUGUACAUCCGACUCUACUUUUUCGUGGGGGAUCACGUAGGGAAGCUUACGAUAAUACCGCAUACGACCUACGGGUGAGAGCAGGGGAUCUUCGGCCCUUGCGCGAUUGUAUGAGCCGAUGUCGGAUUAGCUAGUUGGCGGGGUAAAGGCCCACCAAGGCGACGAUCCGUAGCUGGUCUGAGAGGAUGAUCAGCCACACUGGAACUGAGACACGGUCCAGACUCCUACGGGAGGCAGCAGUGGGGAAUAUUGGACAAUGGGCGCAAGCCUGAUCCAGCCAUACCGCGUGUGUGAAGAAGGCCUUCGGGUUGUAAAGCCCUUUUGUUGGGAAAGAAGAGCAGCAGGUUAAUACCCCGCUGUUCUGACGGUACCCAAAGAAUAAGCACCGGCUAACUUCGUG
rnacentral:rRNA from 1 species